rnacentral:rRNA from 1 species
UAUUGCACAAUGGGGGAAACCCUGAUGCAGCGACGCCGCGUGAGCGAUGAAGUAUUUCGGUAUGUAAAGCUCUAUCAGCAGGGAAGAAAAUGACGGUACCUGACUAAGAAGCCCCGGCUAACUACGUGCC